GCAUAGCUCAGUGGCAGAGCAUCUACUUUCCAAGCAGAAGAUCCCAGGUUCAACCUCUCAUCAGGGAGAAACC